CUCCAAACCUGCCAUGUGCCAGUGACUCCUUUGUUGAAAUGUUUGUACCAUGUGGUUUUGAACUAUUACCUGGAGUGGAUGCAUUACUGAUCACAAAUCAUCCACAUCCACAUCUGAACUCACUCCUUUGUCUGAACUGAGCUGAUCCUUUCUGUUGUAAAUAAACCUUCGAAACCUG